UUCAGAGGAGGCUCUUCUGAGGCUGCUGCCAGUGGUCAAAGCCUCCAACAAAGCUCUACUGAAUGGCUGCAACCUCUCAGAGAGAAGCUGCGAAGAGCUGUCUAUAGCUUUUAGCUACUCAUCUUCUAGUCUGAGAGAGCUGGACCUGAGUAACAAUGAUCUGCAGGACUCCGGAAUAAAGCUUCUGUCUGCUGGAUUGGCGAGAACAAACUGUACAGUGGAAGCUCUCAGUCUGUCAGGCUGUCUGAUCACAGAGGAAGG